AACGAACGCUGGCGGCAUGCCUAACACAUGCAAGUCGAACGAGACCUUCGGGUCUAGUGGCGCACGGGGGCGUAACACGUGGGAAUCUGCCCUUCGGUUCGGAAUAACAGUUAGAAAUGACUGCUAAUACCGGAUAAUGACGCAAGUCCAAAGAUUUAUCGCCGAAGGAUGAGCCCGCGUAGGAUUAGGUAGUUGGUGGGGUAAUGGCCUACCAAGCCGACGAUCCUUAGCUGGUCUGAGAGGAUGAUCAGCCACACUGGGACUGAGACCCGGCCCAGACUCCUACGGGAGGCAGCAGUGGGGAAUAUUGGACAAUGGGCGAAAGCCUGAUCCAGCAAUGCCGCGUGAGUGAUGAAGGCCUUAGGGUUGUAAAGCUCUUUUACCCGGGAUGAUAAUGACAGUACCGGGAGAAUAAGCUCCGGCUAACUCCGUGCCAGCCGCCGCCGUAACAC
rnacentral:rRNA from 1 species